AACUUUUGGCAAUGGAUCACUUAGCUCUCGCAUCGAUGAAGAACGCAGCGAAAUGCGAUACGUAAUGUGAAUUGCAGAAUUCAGUGAAUCAUCGAAUCUUUGAACGCAUAUUGCGCUCUCUGGUAUUCCGGAGAGCAUGCUUGUUUGAGUAUCAGUAAACACCUCAAAUCCCUCUACUUGUUGGAGGAGUUUGGACUUGAGCAAUCCCAACUUUUCGAAAGAGAAGGCGGGUUGCUUGAAAUGCAGGUGCAGCUAGAUUCUUUCUUCUGAGCUAUAAGCAUACUUAUUUAAUCCCGUCAAACGGAUUAUUACUUUUGCUGCAGCUAACAUAAAGGUUGAAGAGUCGCUAUGGCUGACUGAUGCAGGAUUUAACAUGUCGCGCAAGCGAUCUGUAAACUCGAUCUCAAAUCAAGCAAGACUACCCGCUGAACUUAAGCAUAUCAAUAAGCGGAGGCU
rnacentral:misc_RNA from 1 species